CCCUGAACUGAGCUGUGUUUAAUUGCCUGCUUUACAGGAAACCACCUUCCUAACUGCUGCUCUCUCUUCAACCAACACCCAAAGCCACUGCCAGUGUCUAGGGGAUGAGACCUCGCAAGGUGACUCUCUGUCCAGUCAGUUGGAUAAUCAAGAUUAAACAUCACAACAGUCUACUGGGAAGGCUCAGCAUCUCCAGGUUUAAUGGACCAGUGAAGCAGCUAGUGGUGAUUCUAGGAGAACGAAGAGCUUGCAAAUGA
rnacentral:lncRNA from 1 species